rnacentral:rRNA from 1 species
UACGUAGGGUGCGAGCGUAAUCGGAAUUACUGGGCGUAAAGCGUGCGUAGGCGGUUCGUUAAGUCAGCUGUGAAAGCCCCGGGCUCAACCUGGGAAUUGCGGUUGAAACUGGCGAACUAGAAUCUGGCAGAGGGGGGUGGAAUUCCACGUGUAGCAGUGAAAUGCGUAGAGAUGUGGAGGAACACCGAUGGCGAAGGCAGCCCCCUGGGCUGAGAUUGACGCUCAGGCACGAAAGCGUGGGGAGCAAACAGG